CUCUUCCAGUUUUCUUUUAGAUACUUUUGGAAUCGAUCCCAGUGGAGCUUUUGCUUCUUCGAAACCGCUUGUGGAGUGUGGAGGAUCAACAUUGUCGUUGUUAUAUUGCGUUUUUGACUGGCGAUACAGUUCUUCGUUCAUCGUUUCAUGUACGACAUAUCAACAGUCUAUCUCUAUGUCGCUUUGGUCUCUUGUUUGUGAUGUCCGAUUAAGUUCUACGUGAGUCGUUACUUCCUCGUCAUGAAUU
rnacentral:lncRNA from 1 species